UACGUAGGGGGCAAGCGUUGUCCGGAUUUAUUGGGCGUAAAGAGCGUGUAGGCGGUUAGGUAGGUCUGCUGUGAAAACUCGAGGCUCAACCUCGAGACGUCGGCGGAAACCAUCUGGCUAGAGUCCGGAAGAGGAGAGUGGAAUUCCUGGUGUAGCGGUGAAAUGCGCAGAUAUCAGGAAGAACACCCGUGGCGAAGGCGGCUCUCUGGGACGGUACUGACGCUGAGACGCGAAAGCGUGGGGAGCGAACAGG
rnacentral:rRNA from 1 species